UACAGAGGUGGCAAGCGUUGUUCGGAAUCACUGGGCGUAAAGGGCGCGUAGGCGGCUACGCACGUCCGUUGUGAAAUCGCUCGGCUCAACUGGGCGGGGUCAGCGGAUACGGUGUAGCUGGAGCAAGCUAGGGGGCAAUGGAAUUCCCGGUGUAGUGGUGGAAUGCGUAGAUAUCGGGAGGAACACCAGUGGCGAAGGCGGUUGCCUGGAGCUUUGCUGACGCUGAUGCGCGAAAGCGUGGGGAGCGAUCCGG
rnacentral:rRNA from 1 species